AUGCUUAAAGGAAAUAUUUAUCAGCGAUACAAAUCUUUAAUCUUCAAAACAGCGACAGACCUUAGAGGAGACAAACCAGAAAGAAAACAAACAAGGCCCAACCAACACCUCUUCCUACCCCGCCUGGGCUCACUUCUGCACUUCUCCUCUAAGGAAACAACCCCCAUAUCUUAUUCUGAGGCACCCAAAGGCCUCGAACACGGCCCAGCAUCACUGAUGUGUCACGCAGACCUCAUCCCACUGCAAUGGGUCGGUCCUGGUGACAGAGGAGGUCACAAUCCCAGGGACAGUUACACAAACACAACCAUACAUGUUGUCAAGCAGACAGCACCAAGCCAUCCCACAGACCAGCACGCUGCCUAUGUUAAUGAUACCAACAUCACUCAAGCAAUAUUGCUCCUGCAAUUCAAGGCACUCCGGAGUGCAGAAUUAUCUCCGUGCAGCAGCAAGGAACACACAGCUGAACUCACUGCACUAAUGGCACAGCAUACCAUACUGCGGAGGUUGAUACCACUGUGUGGGAAUGUGAAGUUACCAAGAACAUGGCAGCUCUAG
rnacentral:lncRNA from 1 species